GACGAACGCUGGCGGCGUGCCUAAUACAUGCAAGUCGAACGCAGUGGGGCCGGGUGAGUAACACGUGGGUAACCUCCCAUCAGAGGGGAUAACACUUGGAAAAAGGUGAUAAAACGAUACUGAUGGAUGGCCCCGCGGUGCAUUACCUCGUUGGUGAGGUAACGGCUCACCAAGGCCACUAUGCAUAGCCGACCGGAGAGGGUGAGCGGCAAAACGGGGACUGAGACACGGCCCAGACUCCGACGGGAGGCAGCAGUAGGGAAUCUGCGGCAAUGGACGAAAGGCGGACCGAGCAACGCCGCGUGAGUGAAGAAGGUUUUCGGAUCGUAAAACUCUGUUGUUAGAGAAGCGGUAUCUAACCAGAAAGCCACGGCUAACUACGUGCCAGCAGCCGCGGUAAUUC
rnacentral:rRNA from 1 species